GGUUGAUCCUGCCAGUAGCAUAUGCUUGUCUCAAAGAUUAAGCCAUGCAAGUCUAAGUACACACGGCCGGUACAGUGAAACUGCGAAUGGCUCAUUAAAUCAGUUAUGGUUCCUUUGAUCGCUCUCACGUUACUUGGAUAACUGUGGCAAUUCUAGAGCUAAUACAUGCCAACGAGCGCUGACCUCCGGGGAUGCGUGCAUUUAUCAGACCCAAAACCCAUGCGGGGUGCCUCUCGGGGUGCCCCGGCCGCUUUGGUGACUCUAGAUAACCUCGAGCCGAUCGCUGGCCCUCGUGGCGGCGACGUCUCAUUCGAAUGUCUGCCCUAUCAACUUUCGAUGGUACUUUCUGUGCCUACCAUGGUGACCACGGGUAACGGGGAAUCAGGGUUCGAUUCCGGAGAGGGAGCCUGAGAAACGGCUACCACAUCCAAGGAAGGCAGCAGGCGCGCAAAUUACCCACUCCCGACUCGGGGAGGUAGUGACGAAAAAUAACAAUACAGGACUCUUUCGAGGCCCUGUAAUUGGAAUGAGUACACUUUAAAUCCUUUAACGAGGAUCAAUUGGAGGGCAAGUCUGGUGCCAGCAGCCGCGGUAAUUCCAGCUCCAAUAGCGUAUCUUAAAGUUGCUGCACCCCCGUUUGCUUGCCACCUGGAUGACAAGAAGGGUUAUAAAUAUUUCAGCUGCAGAGGGUUCACCAGUAACAACCUGUCACUUCCCUCCUAUCAGUGAAACAAUGAGGCUAAUUGAGGACACGCUGAACUUCAAAUGAAAACACUGUCCUUAUGAAUAAAAGCAGCAGCAGAAUGUACUAUUCAUAAAAUGUGGGGACAGAAAUUAGAGUGAAGCAUUAUUCAUAUUACCAAUGAUGUGGAAACACAAAUUCAGAUAUUCUUAAGACAGAGACACUCUCCUGCUUCCAUUCAUGUGCAUGUUAAAUCUUAACAGUUUCCCAGUAUAUGUGAUUCUCCAUUGGAGAUCU
rnacentral:rRNA from 1 species